rnacentral:rRNA from 1 species
GGUGAGUAACACGUGGGUGAUCUGCCCUGCACUUCGGGAUAAGCCUGGGAAACUGGGUCUAAUACCGGAUAUACCUCAGUGGUUGCAUGACUGUUGGGGGAAAGCUUUUGCGGUGUGGGAUGGGCCCGCGGCCUAUCAGCUUGUUGGUGGGGUGAUGGCCUACCAAGGCGUCGACGGGUAGCCGGCCUGAGAGGGUGUCCGGCCACACUGGGACUGAGAUACGGCCCAGACUCCUACGGGAGGCAGCAGUGGGGAAUAUUGCACAAUGGGCGCAAGCCUGAUGCAGCGACGCCGCGUGGGGGAUGACGGCCUUCGGGUUGUAAACCUCUUUCAGUAGGGACGAAGCGCAAGUGACGGUACCUACAGAAGAAGCACCGGCCAACUACGUGCCAGCAGCCGCGGUAAUACGUAGGGUGCGAGCGUUGUCCGGAAUUACUGGGCGUAAAGAGCUUGUAGGUGGUUUGUCGCGUUGUUCGUGAAAUCUCACGGCUUAACUGUGAGCGUGCGGGCGAUACGGGCAGACUAGAGUACUGCAGGGGAGACUGGAAUUCCUGGUGUAGCGGUGGAAUGCGCAGAUAUCAGGAGGAACACCGGUGGCGAAGGCGGGUCUCUGGGCAGUAACUGACGCUGAG